rnacentral:rRNA from 1 species
UACGGGGGGGGCAAGCGUUGUUCGGAAUUACUGGGCGUAAAGGGCUCGUAGGCGGCCAACUAAGUCAGACGUGAAAUCCCUCGGCUUAACCGGGGAACUGCGUCUGAUACUGGAUGGCUUGAGUUUGGGAGAGGGAUGCGGAAUUCCAGGUGUAGCGGUGAAAUUCGUAGAUAUCUGGAGGAACACCGGUGGCGAAGGCGGCAUCCUGGACCAAUAUUGACGCUGAGGAGCGAAAGCCAGGGGAGCAAACGGG